UUUUUGAUGGUGGUGUUGCAGGUAUUCAUGUCCUGUUUGCUCAAAAUCAUUUUGUGAUAUGUCCCGAACGUCGGAGAGACUUGACCGAGAGAUUGCUUCAACAACGAUGCCUCAGAUUUAUCAGAAUAAGAUGGUUUGGAUUCUCUGUAAUGACUGUGGGGAACAUUCUUAGGUUAAUUUCCAUAUCUUGGCACACAAGUGCCCGAAAUGCAGAUCAUA